rnacentral:lncRNA from 1 species
AAAUAAUUUUUCAAUAAAGAAGGUUUUGUAUUUUUUUAAAUAUUUUGAGAGAGAAUGGUAGCAUCUUAUCCGUUUUAAUAUUUAUUUUUUAAAAAAAUAAAUUUAACUGAAAUUAUGAAAUAACUAUAUUUCAAAUUUGAAAUCUCGAAUACUAAUUAUUAAAUCUUUUGUCAUUUAUGCUAGGAACAGUCGAUGGGUACAAGGAAAAUAUUGUGUGUGCUAAAGAGUGGGG